rnacentral:lncRNA from 1 species
AAGUACAAUGAUCUUGCAAAAAGGCAACAUGAUGAAAAUUCUUCUGAAGAGGAUUCUACAAAAUCUUUCUAACUAAACUCAGGGGAAUAGAAGAAGUGUGUUGUUUUGUGUCUUUUUGUUCUGUGUUUUUCUGUGUAAAUGGCUUAGCAUGCCAUUGUUUUGUUUUUUUUUCUUUGAUUGUUCCCAUUGAUAACGGUUGAAAGACAGUUAUUUUCAUGCUUAAAUUUGAUAUUAAAUCACACCCUUUAUGGCUUAGAAUUAGCUUGAAAUCAUGCAUUUUUAUUAAGUUAGAGAAUAAGAGAGUCAAAGAUGGUUUUCUUGGUUUUAUGCUUGGUUNC